AUAUAUAUCUUUAUUAUAAAUUUAUAUUAAUAAUGAAAUAAUUUAAUUCUAAACUUAUUUAAGAUCAUAUAUAUUCGUGAUUGUUUACGUUUCCGAGCGAUCGAUAAUAGUGGCACAAAGUAUAAACAAACAUUAACAACGUUUCUAACCUUAACAAAGCGAUCUAUUAUCGAUUUACUUGGAGUCUUACCUUUAGUUACAGUUCAUCCUCGGAGGGGUAAGCAUCGUCUCUUUGUGCGUACUAUACAACAUUCGUACUUUCGUUUUAGAGAAAGAAGGAAAAACAAGGAACGGAAGAAAACAGAAAAAGGAGUAGAAGAACAUUAUAUCGCUACGCAUAUUGUACAAGAUAAAUAUGAAAAUUCGAAGGAAUUCGUACGAAAUCGAAAUCGUCAAUAUGGAAUCGUAUCUACAAAGUACCUUCUAGAAAAUAAUAAUAACAUUCUUUCGUUAUAA